UAAGGAAUAUUGGUCAAUGGGCGGAAGCCUGAACCAGCCAUGCCGCGUGCAGGAUGACUGCCCUAUGGGUUGUAAACUGCUUUUGUCCAGGAAUAAACCUAGAUACGUGUAUCUAGCUGAAUGUACUGGAAGAAUAAGGAUCGGCUAACUCCGUGCCAGCAGCCGCGGUAAUACGGAGGAUCCGAGCGUUAUCCGGAUUUAUUGGGUUUAAAGGGUGCGUAGGCGGCCUAUUAAGUCAGGGGUGAAAUACGGUGGCUCAACCAUCGCAGUGCCUUUGAUACUGAUGGGCUUGAAUCCAUUUGAAGUGGGCGGAAUAAGACAAGUAGCGGUGAAAUGCAUAGAUAUGUCUUAGAACUCCGAUUGCGAAGGCAGCUCACUAAGCUGGUAUUGACGCUGAUGCACGAAAGCGUGGGGGAUCGAACAGGAUUAGAUACCCUGGUAGUCCACGCCCUAAAACGAUGAUAACUCNAUGUUGGCGAUAGAUAGCCAGCGUCCAAGCGAAAGCGUUAAGUUAUCCACCUGGGGAGUACGCCCGCAAGGGUGAAACUCAAAUGAAUUGACGGGGUCAUAGCUGUUUCCU
rnacentral:rRNA from 1 species